rnacentral:rRNA from 1 species
UGGGGAAUUUUCCGCAAUGGACGAAAGUCUGACGGAGCAACGCCGCGUGAGUGAUGAAGGCCUUCGGGUUGUAAAACUCUGUCUUAUGGGAAGAAGAAAGUGACGGUACCAUAGGAGGAAGCCACGGCUAACUACGUGCCAGCAGCCGCGGUAAUACGUAGGUGGCGAGCGUUGUCCGGAAUCACUGGGCGUAAAGGGCGCGUAGGCGGUUAAUUAAGUCAGGUGUGAAAACUUUGGGCUCAACCCAGAGACUGCACCUGAUACUGGAUAACUUGAGUGCAGGAGAGGACAGUGGAAUUCCUAGUGUAGCGGUGAAAUGCGUAGAUAUUAGGAGGAACACCAGUGGCGAAGGCGGCUGUCUGGACUGUAACUGACGCUGAGGCGCGAAAGCGUGGGGAGCGAACAGG